rnacentral:rRNA from 1 species
UGGGAGGGGCCAGCGGCCCAUCAGCUAGUUGGUGGGGUAAGAGCCUACCAAGGCGAAGACGGGUAGGGGGCGUGAGAGCGUGACCCCCCACACUGGUACUGAGACACGGACCAGAUACCUACGGGUAGCAGCAGCAAGGAAUAUUGCCCAAUGGACGGAAGUCUGAGGCAGCAACGCCGCGUGGAGGACGAAGGCCUUCGGGUUGUAAACUUCUUUUCUGGGGGAAGAGAAAGGACGGUACCCCAGGAAUAAGUCUCGGCUAACUACGUGCCAGCAGCCGCGGUAAAACGUGGGAGACGAGCGUUAUCCGGAAUUACUGGGCGUAAAGCGCAUGCAGGCGGUCCUUUAAGUCGGAUGUGAAAGCGCCUGGCUCAACUAGGCGAGGACAUUCGAGACUGGAGGAGUAGAGGGUGGUAGAGGAGAGUGGAAUUCCCGGUGUAGUGGUGAAAUGCGUAGAUAUCGGGAGGAACACCAGUGGCGAAGGCGGCUCUCUGGGCCAACCCUGACGCUCAGAUGCGAAAGCUAGGGGAGAGAACGGGAUUAGAAACCCCGGUAUUCCUAGCCGUAAACGAUGUCAACUAGGCGUAGGAGGUUAUUGACCCCUUCUGUGCUGAAGCCAACGCGAUAAGUUGACCGCCUGGGGAGUACGGCCGCAAGGCUAAAACUCAAAGGAAUUGACGGGGGCCCGCACAAGCAGCGGAGCGUGUGGUUUAAUUCGAGGCUACGCGAAGAACCUUACCAGGGUUUGACAUGGUGGUGGUAGGGAAGCGAAAGCGGACCGACCCUUCGGGGAGCCAUUACAGGUGCUGCAUGGCUGUCGUCAGCUCGUGCCGUGAGGUGUUAGGUUAAGUCCUGUAACGAGCGCAACCCACGUCGUUAGUUACAAGUGUCUAACGAGACUGCC